rnacentral:rRNA from 1 species
UACAGAGGUCUCAAGCGUUGUUCGGAUUCAUUGGGCGUAAAGGGUGUGUAGGCGGUUCACUAAGUUCGGUGUGAAAUCUCCCGGCUCAACUGGGAGGGUGCAUUGAAAACUGGUGGGCUUGAGUAUGGGAGAGGUAAGCGGAAUUCCUGGUGCAGCGGUGAAAUGCGUAGAUAUCAGGAGGAACACCUGUGGUGUAGACAGCUUACUGGACCAUCACUGACGCUGAAACACGAAAGCGUGGGUAGCAAACAGG